GCCUGGGCUCCUCCGGGGGCUGCCGGGGCAUCUCUGCGCCCCUGCCCACCGUGGGUUGCAGGGCAAUCUCAGCCCGGAGAGGGUCCUGCCCUCCUUCCCCACCGAUACUGGGCUCUUUCCCAUAUUCUCUAUUCUCUUUUCUUUGGCUGUGCAUUGCUCAUAUGCAACAAGUGUUUUGCCUUUUUUAUUAGGUUAUACCAAAGGUGCUGCCAUUGUCACUGAUGUGCUUGGGUCCGCCUUGGAGCCGAAUGGUUUUGGCUUCACGGGACACGGGGAAAGCUUCAGAGAGCUUGGCACAGAAACCAGCCCUGCAGCCCUCCGCACUGCCCGCCUCCUCUGUCACAGCCUGGCCCUGCAAACCCAGGGCGUUAAAAUGCAGGUAGAAGUUUGCUGAGCCUUUAAUUUCACCCCUCCCAGGAGUUCAUGUGAUGGCUUAAAAAAAAAAGAAGAGUCAUUGAAGCUGUUUCAGUGUGGUACCAAGACUUUCCAAGUAUAAACACAGAAAGAUGAGAAGGUGGGAAAAGUUAAAGGGCAAAACACUUGGAGAACACACUUUAUUUAAAAGAACUUUUGAGAAUCCAUUUCAUUGCAAGGUAAAGCAGAGUAAUGCAACAUUGCAGUAAGAACAAGAAAGUAUUUCCAGGAACAGAAGUAGCAGCUUAGUCUGUAUUUUAGAAAUGCAAUUUUACUGACUAUUUAGCAUAACAUCUCCUGAAGUGGCCUUGGGGCUUUUCUCUCUGCUUAUCCUUUUCCUCAGAUGCAAGUUUAUGUUUGUUCCCUGAGCCCACAGUGCUUGCUGUGGAAUGAAGGCUGUUACGUACCGGUGGUAAAGAGCUGAACUGUAAACUCUUGCAAGCUUUCCAAGAAUCAGUGGAAGAUCAUGCCAGCUUUCCAUGUAAAAAUCCUUUCCAUUUCCUCCAAGAGUUGCCAAACUCCAUCUCUCAGGGCUUUAGGGUCUGUGAAAUGAGAGCUCCACUAUUGCUGGGAGCCAAGGGGGGAAAGCAGGUCCCUCCCUCUGCCAGCUGAGAGCUCCUUAUCCAGAAUGUGCUCACAGAACAGUGCAGAAACAGAGGCAGAUUCUGGGUUUUGAAUUACAGAAAUUGCUCCCUUGCUGUGUGCUGUGGCUCUGCAGAUUCAGGGUGCAUCUUUGAAGGUGUCUGAGGAGCAUGAGGCACUGGCAAGUGUUUGUUUUGGGUGGCUAUUACUGGAGCAGAGCCCAGGACAAGGAGGAAGAUGCACUCUUAUUGUGAUCAGACUCUUUCCUCUGGCACUGGGCCUGGAGUGCAGGGCUGGCCCUAAAAUGGCCUUAGAAAAAUAAACAUCCUAGUUCUUUUCCUUACUGGAACA
rnacentral:lncRNA from 1 species